CGCAUCUAAAACCUGUCUGGAGUUCGACACCGCCGGUCUCGGGUGUUCUCUAGACUGAAAUUUGGUCAAUGUUCAGGGUUUUUCCUGCCAUAUGACUGCAUUUGUCUCUGGCCAUCAGGAACUUCUGAGACUAUCCAUCCAGAGCACAAGACAGACGCCCGGGGAGACCGGCGUCUACACAGGGAGCGACUAGCAACAACCAGAGACCAUCCCUGACCAGUCGAGACACGGACUCCAUGAGAACCCUGAAGCUUUGCUGUGGUAUUUGGCACCAAGAUGUUAACAACAAAUCCUGCAAGAUGUGAAGUGGAACAUCUGUGGAUCGGACUCCUUCGUCCAGCACAUCCCAAAGAUGCUCAAUUGGACCGAGAUCUGCAGAAUUUGGAGGCAAAGUCAACACCUCAAACUCGUUGUUGUGCUCCUCAAACUAUUGCCCAAAGCAUCACAUUGCAUAAUGCAUCCUGGUGUCAAGUGUUCCCCAGCUGGCGGUCGGGAGGACAGGUCGUCCGAAGCCAAUGCGUCGCUGUGGGUGCCGUAGGGUUUCCAUCUUGGUCAACGAUGCACUUCCAGACCUUGUGAUAUCUGGCCUUGACCUUUGCCCUUGAACGAUUCUUGAGUGUAUUUCCGCCGUUGAUGCCACUUUCUUUUCUUGCACCAGAGAGCCGAGUUAAAAGAAGAUUGUUAUGAGCAUGCCCUAAUGGAAAGCCUAAAACGGGGAGAACAGCAGCACCAAACCCCGAGCAGGCUUCAGUGACAUGACUCCAAAAUCACACGGCAAAUUGGAGCUUAGGUGGAGGGUCGCAGGUGCGCCGGAGGCUAUCCAAGCUAUCGUGGAGGGAAAGGCAGAAUACAACCUACAGUUCAUCAGUCUGUUUCAGGCUAACGUGUAGUGACAGACAACCAAUCACAAUCACAUGUACAGCCAGUUAACCUAACAUGCAUGUGUUUGGAAAGGCCCCAGCCCAGGACCUUCUUGCUGCAACAGUGCUAACCACCGCUCUACCGUUCCACACUCAGAUAUUAGGAAAUUAAAUUAUGUAAGUGCUCCAUUUUUCCUUUUGACAUUAAGUCUCCCAGUAAGUAGAUAAAGUCAGGUCAAGGCCUCAGAUUAGCUGUUCAAAAAAACACAAUGGUUACAUCCACUUUUUAUACAGUCUGUGAUUAUGACUAUUAGCUUCUGCUUCUUUGUAUAAAAUCUGCUCUGUCACUUGUUAUUUUAGCAUUUCAGCCACGCACAUUUCAAUAGAGUUAGAAUAAACC